UACAGAGGGGGCAAGCGUUGUUCGGAAUUACUGGGCGUAAAGGGCGCGUAGGCGGCCUUCUAAGUCGAACGUGAAAUCCCUGGGCUCAACCCAGGAACUGCGUCCGAUACUGGGAGGCUUGAAUCCGGGAGAGGGAUGCGGAAUUCCAGGUGUAGCGGUGAAAUGCGUAGAUAUCUGGAGGAACACCGGUGGCGAAGGCGGCAUCCUGGACCGGCAUUGACGCUGAGGAGCGAAAGCGUGGGGAGCGAACAGG
rnacentral:rRNA from 1 species